AUAAUAGCAUGGAACAAUCAAAAAUUAUAGAUACAUUGGAGACGUAUCACCAAGCCUGUGGCACCCCGGCUCAGAGGAAACGGAAUGCCCCGUAUUCCAGCCCAAAGAUCGAGAUGAAGUCUUCUGGAAUACGGCACUGCUUAGCAUAGAACAAAUCAGCUCUUUAUUACAAUAUAUUUGGGUACAAGGGUUACAUCGGCACGGCAACACUACGCCUUCCACUCUUGCUCUAUGCAAGCAGCAGACAACUUGAAGCAGCGGAAUAACUCUAGCAGCGAAAAAACGACGACGGUGGUGAACUCCACUCCGCAGGGACUCUGGCUGGAACGCUUAUCCUAGCUCGCAAACAAAGAAUCCACGGCAAACAAGCAUUCAAAUCCGGCAUGACCUGCAAACUGGCAUGACACGCCAGGUCAGUACAUUGAAUGUACUUGCAAGCUCACAAUAACCAGAAGCAUUCAAGACAAACAACAACAUGACAAUUAUAGGUUAACAAUGAUUAACAUGAUAUCACCAGAACAACAUGGUAUGAACCACAUGAACAUAAUACAGCUAGCACAAUAUGAGCAUGGCAUGAACAUAAGAAUCUAAAGCUACUAGCAUGCAACAUGAUGACACUAUCAUGCACUACUUAUUCUGUUCGGGUUACCUCGUAACCAUCACAUGCAUCACUUACCAACCUUGGACAUCACACGAUCAUCUCAGGAUCAAAUCAAGCUUGGUAUAACCAAUACCGUAGUAAUCAUUAAAUGACCACAAGGGGCUUGAUCUUUACCCAUGAUUCUCGCUAAACAUCACGAAUAUCCAACAACUCAAUAUCCUCGAUACCACGGUGAUCACUCACGGAUCACAAACGGAACCACACUUGGUUCAACGGGUUACCUCGUAACCAAACGGGGAUCAUUCACGGAUCACAAACGGAACCACUCUUGGUCCAACGGGUUACCUCGUAACCAAACGGUGAUCAUUCACAGAUCACAUAAUCAACUUAUCUCAUCAUCGAACCGGGGUUGUUAUUAAGCACAUCAUUACUAUUACUGUUGACCCAUAGUGUGACCGUCACGAACUGCGCCCUUAUCCGCGGGCACGUCUAUCGAUAGUUUUAACACACACUCUACAGAGGUUGGCACAUUGUACCCACACCACGGAACCCAUGGCCUUGCACUCCCAUUCGGGUGGACCAACGGCGUUCUGACAAAACCGUCCUACUGCCAUGACACUCUCCCGGCCACUCCGACUAACUCCCACUGGGCUAAGUCAUGGGUGGCCCCGUGUCUACCCCAGACACCAACGGGCACCGUCGUGGCAAAACGGCCACAUCAUGGCAGAACGGUCCCAAACAGGGACAAGGAUCCAUACAACAACAACGGGCACACAAGGUUAUGUCUACUUACCGGGCCAGGGUACCGCAUGCCCAUAACCUUCCCUCGUUGGAGGCACCGGCGAGAGGCACGACAGUAGACCCAGUUAGG
rnacentral:lncRNA from 1 species